rnacentral:rRNA from 1 species
GACGAACGCUGGCGGCGUGCCUAAUACAUGCAAGUUGAGCGCUGAAGGUUGGUACUUGUACCAACUGGAUGAGCAGCGAACGGGUGAGUAACGCGUGGGGAAUCUGCCUUUGAGCAGGGGACAACAUUUGGAAACGAAUGCUAAUACCGCAUAAAAACUUUAAACACAAGUUUUAAGUUUGAAAGAUGCAAUUGCAUCACUCAAAGAUGAUCCCGCGUUGUAUUAGCUAGUUGGUGAGGUAAAGGCUCACCAAGGCGAUGAUACAUAGCCGACCUGAGAGGGUGAUCGGCAACAUUGGGACUGAGACACGGCCCAAACUCCUACGGGAGGCAGCAGUAGGGAAUCUUCGGCAAUGGACGAAAGUCUGACCGAGCAACGCCGCGUGAGUGAAGAAGGUUUUCGGAUCGUAAAACUCUGUUGGUAGAGAAGAACGUUGGUGAGAGUGGAAAGCUCACCAAGUGACGGUAACUACCCAGAAAGGGACGGCUAACUACGUG